AAAAUCGAGUUUGUCUGUCAAAACCGCAAAAUCGAGUUUUCUGCCAAAACUGUAAAAUUUGUAGGCUUAGAGAUUAAAAAUAUAAUUUUUUCUUAUAUGGUCUAUUAUAAACUCCAUGGCAACCCAUGUAAACAUGGGUGUUAGUGGGUCUGGUCCUUAGUGGACAUGGUUCCUAAUGGACAUGGUCAUUCUUUGUGGAUGAUAAAUGGAUAUGAACUAAUGUACGUGGACUAACCCAGUUUACAGCUCUACGAACAAAAAGCCCAACGUAACCUUUCUCUUUCUCCAUGGCGGUCAUCUGCUUGAAACUCCGCCGGCUCUGACGUAAUUGAGGUGUUACGUUUUCGUAUUCAUUGAAACCAUUAUUAAGAUUCGCCUUUAACUCUCUUAUUAAAACUCUUCCAUGGAGUCGAUUUAAGUUACCCUUUCAUAAUUUCCUUAAUCUGUUCAAUUAUAAAAGGGUUGCAUAAAACUCAGAAUCUCACUCUUCACCAGAUUCAACCCGUCUAAUUCAUUACACAUACGGUAGUAAGGCAAUCUGCAUUUCUUGGAAGUAUGAAAUUUUUUAAACUUUUUACGUUCCCUGUCUGCCUGCUGAAGUAGGUUUGCCUUUUUUUAAUCGAAGUUGUUCUGUAGUUAUUUAGUUCUCUGAUGCUCAAUUAAACUUUUUUUUUGUUUCCUCCCGUUGAACCUCCAUCUUCCUCAGGAGACGAAGAGUACAAUAAGAAUAUGUGGGGCCAUACACGGAUGCCUACCCUUCUACGGUCUACUCAAACCAGGAUGACCUCAGCAGAUUCCAUGUUUCAUAGCAGAGAGGAUAUGGUGUAGCCUCAGAAUAUUUCCCAGAGAAAGAAAAGUAUUUACGAUCCAACUCAUGGGGUUUGCCUUUGGAGAGCCCUGUAGCAAAAGUUUGUAGUGUUUUUUUUUUUUUUAAAGCAUCCGGGAUAUAUCUGAUCCAUAUUCAACUAUAUCUCAGGGUUUAGCUCAAGUUUUGCAUCAAAAGGGGCUUUCUUAUGUUUCUUGAGAAGCAUCAUGAGCUCCAGUUUUGAGUCUUAUGAAGAAUACGUUGAAAUCCACAGCAGGUGCAUGAGACAACUUGGUCUUCCUGUCAGUAUGUUUUAAUCAUCACUGUUAAACAUCCACUCUUCUAAAUGUGAUUCCACAAUCACGUGCCUUCAAGUAAAACAGAUGAUGGGUAAGCUUAUGAUGAUGGUUAUACACGUAGGUGAUAUACAUAGCCUAAUACUUUAUUGUCUUAGAUUUAAACUUCUUUCAUGGUCAAAUAAAUGAAAUCAAUAUAUAACCACCUUAUACACGCAUCAACGGCUAAAACGUGCAGUGUUUUUAAUGAGAUAUUGAAAACUCUUAAAAACCUAUGGUCAUGCUUCCACGAGGUUAAUAUGCAAAGGGUUGCUCCAAAGAGUUACCAGCAAGCUGCUGGAGUAGUCUUCGUUUCACGAAAGUUUUAGCUAACUUUUGCAUCGAUCAGGACCCUGAAUCACCUUGGGCAGCAAACUCAUGGCUUCUGGGCCAAGUCAGGGCUCUGUAGUAAUACACUCAACAAUUGUUUCAACCAGUUAAAUAUUUAAGAGGACAUGUUUUACAAGUUUGGAUAGUGCAUCAUCACAACUGCUCCUUGAUUUAACUCUCUAUCUCAGUGUGUUUGACGAAUUAGCCAACCGCCUUCACCCAAAGUUUCAAACGUUUGGGUUUGAAACCAAAGAGGAAAAAUGGUUUUUUGUUAAAAAUAUUUUGAGGGUGUGUUGUGUUGUCUAAAUCUGGGAAUCAUCUGAUACUAAUUGACAAAUGGUUCUUCUAUAGGGAAGUAGGAGAUGAGAAAUCCAUCUUGGAGCUCGAGUUCUUGAUCUGAUUCUUUCGGAUUGCUCAUGUUAAAUAAUUGCUCCGGCAACUUCAUAGUUGGACGGUUCCUCCAACAUCAUCGCUGCAGUUUCCACCGGUUCCAUAAUUGGUGUCUACAGCCCCUACGAGUCCAAUGAUAUUUCCACUCUUUGGUCAGAAGAACAAAUACGUAUAGUAAACGCGUGACAACCUGGGCACAACUUGCUAGCAGCCGGCUACUGUAUGUACUCGAGCUCAGUCAUCUUUGUUCUUAUUCUAGGGAAAGACGUCUGCAAUGUACGGCGAGUUUGUCCUCACGCAAGAGAACAUCUAGAUCCCCAAAAUCAGGAAAAUAUACUCUUUCAACGAAGGAAAGAUGUGGUACGAGAGUCUGGAGGAAGUACAUUGAUGAUCUCAAGGACCCUGGUCCAAGUGGGAAAUCUUACUCGCUAAGGUACAUUGGAAGUUUGGUCGUAAAUUUUCACAGGUCUUUGUUGUACAGUGGGAUUUACGGGUGCUGCCAAGAGCAGAAACGGAAUGCAUAAGCCCUUAGACUUCUAUUGUAAGCCAUUUUCUGACUACACGGUACCUCUCAAAUUCCCAAUAGAUGCAUGACUUAUGCAAGUUCUGUUUUGUUAUCUAUGUCAAUAAAGAUAUAUCCGAUAUUUUACUAUAGAGCCAAAACUAAGUUAAAUUUAUACAAAGCAUAGUACUAGGUAAGGAGAAGUUACAUGUCGUAUUCCCAAGAUUCAUGAUUUUAGUUCUGUAACUAUUUUGUUUUUGCGAGAGCAAUGCACUUACCCCGAUUAUAGUUUAUAAAAAAAGAAUCACAUCUUCUUA